AGAGUUUGAUCCUGGCUCAGGAUGAACGCUAGCGGCAGGCUUAACACAUGCAAGUCGAGGGGCAGCAUAAUGGAUAGCAAUAUCUAUGGUGGCGACCGGCGCACGGGUGCGUAACGCGUAUGCAACCUACCUUUAACAGGGGGAUAACACUGAGAAAUUGGUACUAAUACCCCAUAAUAUCAUAGAAGGCAUCUUUUAUGGUUGAAAAUUCCGAUGGUUAGAGAUGGGCAUGCGUUGUAUUAGCUAGUUGGUGGGGUAACGGCUCACCAAGGCGACGAUACAUAGGGGGACUGAGAGGUUAACCCCCCACACUGGUACUGAGACACGGACCAGACUCCUACGGGAGGCAGCAGUGAGGAAUAUUGGUCAAUGGACGCAAGUCUGAACCAGCCAUGCCGCGUGCAGGAUGACGGCUCUAUGAGUUGUAAACUGCUUUUGUACGAGGGUAAACGCAGAUACGUGUAUCUGUCUGAAAGUAUCGUACGAAUAAGGAUCGGCUAACUCCGUGCCAGCAGCCGCGGUAAUACGGAGGAUUCAAGCGUUAUCCGGAUUUAUUGGGUUUAAAGGGUGCGUAGGCGGUUUGAUAAGUUAGAGGUGAAAUUUCGGGGCUCAACCCUGAACGUGCCUCUAAUACUGUUGAGCUAGAGAGUAGUUGCGGUAGGCGGAAUGUAUGGUGUAGCGGUGAAAUGCUUAGAGAUCAUACAGAACACCGAUUGCGAAGGCAGCUUACCAAACUAUAUCUGACGUUGAGGCACGAAAGCGUGGGGAGCAAACAGGAUUAGAUACCCUGGUAGUCCACGCAGUAAACGAUGAUAACUCGUUGUCGGCGAUACACAGUCGGUGACUAAGCGAAAGCGAUAAGUUAUCCACCUGGGGAGUACGUUCGCAAGAAUGAAACUCAAAGGAAUUGACCUGUCUCUUAUACACAUCUCCGAGCCCACGAGACCCUAAGACAUCU
rnacentral:rRNA from 1 species